UGGUAAAAAGCUCGUAGUUGGAUCUCAACAGCCUUGAAGCGGUUAACUUUGUAGUUUUACUGCUUUAUAGGCUGUGCUUUUGCUGGAGGUUUAGGGGUGCUCUUGAUCGAGUGUCUCUGGAUGCCAGCAGGUUUACUUUGAAAAAAUUAGAGUGCUCAAAGCAGGCUAAAAUGCCUGAAUAUUCGUGCAUGGAAUAAUAGAAUAGGAUGUCGAUCCUAUUUUGUUGGUUUUCGGGACUCGACAUAAUGAUAAAUAGGGACAGUCGGGGGCAUUUGUAUUCAAACGACAGAGGUGAAAUUCUUGGACCGUUUGAAGACAAACUACUGCGAAAGCAUUUGCCAAGAAUGUUUUCAUUAAUCAAGAACGAAAGUUAGAGGUUCGAAGGCGAUUAGAUACCGCCCUAGUUCUAACCAUAAACGAUGCCAGCUAGCGAUCUGCCUGCGUUUUUACUGUAGACUGGGCAGGAAGCUUCCGGGAAACCAAAGCAUUUGGGUUCCAGGGGAAGUAUGGUUGCAAAGCUGAAACUUAAAGGAAUUGACGGAAGGGCACCACCAGGAGUGGAGCCUGUGGCUUAAUUUGACUCAACACGGGAAAUCUCACCAGGCCCGGAC
rnacentral:rRNA from 1 species